GACUGUCUAACGCAACACAUCACAUGGGACCAAGAAGAGAUCCAUGUCUACAUACCAAGAUGGUCCAAAGGCUAAGCGGGCUUCACAUUCAACUGUUGAGCAACUGACAGGCGACAAAUGCAGAGAGGCGAUAUCUGUGCUUCAGCAUUCAACUGAUGAGUCACUGGUCAAGGAGAAGAUGAGGGCAACAUUCAAACACAGACAGAACAUUGUGCAGGAUCCAGAGAAGUCCUCAACCAUCUUGGGCGUCUUCCCCCGAUUCCUUGACAUACCAGGCUUGAUCGACCAAGACUUCACAAUGCUGUUUGGAGAGGAUGCAUCUGGCAAGUUCCUGGCGAAAUGGCCAACUUUGUUCAGACCAGGGUCAUCGCAGACUGCAAGAACCUACCCCCCAGUGCCCAUAUGGAAGCCCUCCUCUCUUCUGCGCAGCACGACUCUGAUGAUUUGGACUAGGAUGGGACAGUGACUUGGCAGCCAUUCUGUUGCUGCUGCAUCUGCUACCCCCAACCUCAAAAGACAAGAGGGCUGCAAAGAUCGCUGUCUCUCAAGCUGCUGACCAUCUGGUGAAAUAUAUGAAGGUGGGGACGAGCAUGGUGACCUUCCUUGCGCAAGUUGGACGUGAACAGCCCUUCCUCCUCUGUGUCGGCGAACAAAAGAACAUCAUCCAGAAAUUCUACAUCGUCGUUGACCAGAAGGCCAUUCCGUGCAAGACCCAAACAUCAGAGGCAGCUUUCGAUGAGCUCUUCAAGGCACACUACGUCUUCGGCGUGUCCUGUGACGAAGCUUUGGGUAGUUUCUACACGUUCAUUCAAACCACAGUGUAUAAUAUUGAUGUAGGGAAUGCAAAGGAGAGCCCAAGGGUCAAGGAGAUUAGAGCAAGGCUGCUUAACAGAGACACUUGAAUUGAUACACAUCUUUGGGCUUAAAGAUGUUUACUUGUUUCAUUUGUAAAGUACACCACAGAAGUUGUGCGUUGCUUUGUCAACAUUUUAAGUUCCAUCAGGAAGGACAUUGCGUUUGAAAUGCGGAGAUCCUGAGUUUUCCUCCAUUUUUGGCACUUAUUCUGGCUUUAAGAAGCACUUGGUUUGUGUACAUGGUGACUGUGUUACUCCAAAUACCAUUGACAAUGUUGAGACUUUGAGCAAUAAUGAUGUUGAACCUUCAUGUUGUCAGUCAGUCGGUUGGUACAGACUCUCCUCCUACUCAGGUUCCUAUUGAGAGGAGGUAAUUGCUGGACAUGUGUGGGUCUGUUGUAGCUCAGUUACAGGCAUCAGGGGUUGCUGAAAGUACUGUUCAAUCUAUGGUUGGUUCAAUGGAAGAACUUGUGAAUGACAUCCAUGCUCAAGCAAGGGAAGCUGUACUAAAAAGUAUUU